rnacentral:rRNA from 1 species
UCAUUAAAUCAGUUAUCGUUUAUUUGAUAGUACCUUACUACUUGGAUAACCGUGGUAAUUCUAGAGCUAAUACAUGCUAAAAACCUCGACUUCGGAAGGGGUGUAUUUAUUAGAUAAAAAACCAAUGCCCUUCGGGGCUCCCUGGUGAUUCAUAGUAACUUAACGAAUCGCAUGGCCUUGUGCCGGCGAUGGCUCAUUCAAAUUUCUGCCCUAUCAACUUUCGAUGGUACGGUCUUGGCCUACCAUGGUUUCAACGGGUAACGGGGAAUUAGGGUUCUAUUCCGGAGAGGGAGCCUGAGAAACGGGCUACCACAUCCAAGGAAGGCAGCAGGCGCGCAAAUUACCCAAUCCUGAUACAGGGAGGUAGUGACAAUAAAUACUGAUACAGGGCUCUUUUGGGUCUUGUAAUUGGAAUGAGUACAAUUUAAAUCCCUUAACGAGGAACAAUUGGAGGGCAAGUCUGGUGCCAGCAGCCGCGGUAAUUCCAGCUCCAAUAGCGUAUAUUAAAGUUGUUGCAGUUAAAAAGCUCGUAGUUGAACCUUGGGCCUGGCUGUCCGGUCCGCCUCACCGCGUGCACUGGUUCGGCCGGGCCUUUCCUCCUAGGGAACCGCAUGCCCUUCAUUGGGUGUGUCGGGGAACUAGGACUUUUACUUUGAAAAAAUUAGAGUGUUCAAAGCAGGCCUAUGCUCGGAUACAUUAGCAUGGAAUAAUAGAAUAGGACGUGUGGUUCUAUUUUGUUGGUUUCUAGGACCGCCGUAAUGAUUAAUAGGGAUAGUCGGGGGCAUCAGUAUUCCGUUGUCAGAGGUGAAAUUCUUGGAUUUACGGAAGACUAACUACUGCGAAAGCAUUUGCCAAGGAUGUUUUCAUUAAUCAGUGAACGAAAGUUAGGGGAUCGAAAACGAUCAGAUACCGUUGUAGUCUUAACCAUAAACUAUGCCGACUAGGGAUCGGGCGAUGUUAUCUUUUUGACUCGCUCGGCACCUUACGAGAAAUCAAAGUCUUUGG